UUUCCAUGUGAUGGUUCAAAAUAAUCAUGCUAGUGUAUAUCUGAUUGUUUUAUGACCGAAAGAUUUACUUUUUUCUAAGGGAACU